rnacentral:rRNA from 1 species
AAAUAAGCUAUUAAGGGCUAAUGGUGGAUGCCUAGACUGUAAGAGGCGAUGAAGGACGUACUAGACUGCGAAAAGCCAUGGGGAGCUGUCAAGAAGCUUUGAUCCAUGGAUAUCCGAAUGGGGCAACCCAGCAUAGUGCGAACUAUGUUACCUUUCGAGGGGCAAACCGAGCGAAGUGAAACAUCUCAGUAGCUCGAGGAAGAGAAAUCAAUUGAGAUUCCGUCAGUAGCGGCGAGCGAACGCGGAACAGGGCGCAUACAUUUAUCAUAUUUGUUAGACGAAUAAGCUGGAAAGCUUGACCAUAGAGAGUGAUAGUCUCGUAGUCGAAAACAUUUAUGAAGAACUAAGGUAUGGAACGAGUAGGUCGGAACACGUGAUAUUUUGACUGAAUAUGGGGGGACCAUCCUCCAACCCUAAAUACUACUUACAGAUCGAUAGUGAACAAGUACCGUGAGGGAAAGGUGAAAAGUACCCCAGUGAGGGGAGUGAAAUAGAACCUGAAACCAUUAGCUUACAAUCAUUCAGAGCCCUAUGUUUUAUACAGGGUGAUGGACUGCCUUUUGCAUAAUGAGCCUGCGAGUUGUGGUUAGUGGCAAGGUUAAACCAAGUGUGGAGCCGUAGCGAAAGCGAGUCUUAAUAGGGCGACAUAGUCACUAGCUGCAGACCCGAAACGAAGUGAUCUAUCCAUGAGCAGGUUGAAGCUGGUGUAAGAGCCAGUGGAGGACCGAACCGGUGUGCGUUGAAAAGUGCUCGGAUGACUUGUGGAUAGGGGUGAAAGGCCAAUCAAACUUCGUGAUAGCUGGUUCUCUCCGAAAUAUAUUUAGGUAUAGCGUCGUGUAGUAGCAUAUAGGGGUAGAGCACUGACUGGGCUAGGGCAUAUACCAAUGUACCAAACCCUAUCAAACUUCGAAUACUAUAUGUGUAAUCACGGCAGUCAGGCGUAGGGUGAUAAAAUCCUAUGUCGAGAGGGGAACAACCCAGACUAACAGCUAAGGUCCCAAAGUCGUAAUUAAGUGGAAAACGAUGUGGAGUUACUGUGACAACCAGGAAGUUGGCUUAGAAGCAGCCAUCUUUUAAAGAAAGCGUAACAGCUCACUGGUCUAGUGAUUCUGCGCGGAAAAUAUAACGGGGCUAAAUUACGCACCGAAGCUUUAGAUGUACAAUUUAUUGUACGUGGUAGGAGAGCGUUCUAGUCAGCAUUGAAGCCAUACCGGUAAGGAGUGGUGGAGCGGCUAGAAGUGAGCAUGCAGGCAUGAGUAGCGAUAAUUGAGGUGAGAAUCCUCAACGCCGAAAACCCAAGGUUUCCUACGCGAUGUUCGUCAUCGUAGGGUUAGUCGGGUCCUAAGUCGAGUCCGAAAGGGGUAGACGAUGGCAAAUAGGUUAAUAUUCCUAUACUAAUAAUUGAGCGCGAAGUGGGGACGCAUAGAGUUAAUCGAGCUGGCUGAUGGAAUAGCUGGUCGAAGGACGUAGGUCGCAUCUUAGGCAAAUCCGGGAUGCACGAGACCGAGAUCUUACAGGCCGAACAAAAUCUUCGGAUGGCGUUUGGAAUCGAUGAUACUGUCGUGCCGAGAAAAGCCUCUAAGUUUAUCAAUUAUUACCCGUACCGUAAACCGACACAGGUGGGUGGGAUGAGUAUUCUAAGGCGCGUGGAAGAACCCUGGUUAAGGAACUCUGCAAACUAGCACCGUAACUUCGGAAGAAGGUGUGCCUACUUUGGUAUAUGGAUUUACUCCAGAAAGCUAGAGAGGUUGCAACAAAGAGUCCCUCCCGACUGUUUACCAAAAACACAGCACUUUGCUAACACGUAAGUGGAUGUAUAAGGUGUGACGCCUGCCCGGUGCUCGAAGGUUAAUUGAUGAUGUCAGCAUUAGCGAAGCAUUUGAUCGAAGCCCGAGUAAACGGCGGCCGUAACUAUAACGGUCCUAAGGUAGCGAAAUUCCUUGUCGGUUAAAUACCGACCUGCAUGAAUGGCGUAACGAGAUGGGAGCUGUCUCAACCAGGGAUCCAGUGAAAUUGUAGUGGAGGUGAAAAUUCCUCCUACCCGCGGAAAGACGGAAAGACCCCGUGCACCUUUACUACAGCUUGACACUGUAGCUUGGAUAUUCAUGUGCAGGAUAGGUGGGAGACUUUGAAGCUGGGACGCAAGUAACAGUGGAGUCACCCUUGAGAUACCACCCUUGAAUAUUUGAGUUACUAACUCCGUACAAUUAUCUUGUGCGAGGACAAUGUCUGGUGGGUAGUUUGACUGGGGCGGUCGCCUCCUAAAAAGUAACGGAGGCUUGCAAAGGUUGGCUCAAUCCGGUUGGAAAUCGGAUGCUGAGUAUAAUGGUAUAAGCCAGCCUGACUGUGAGACAUACAUGUCGAACAGAGACGAAAGUCGGUCAUAGUGAUCCGGUGGUCCCGAAUGGAAGGGCCAUCGCUCAAAGGAUAA